GGAACAGACAUCUGGGGAUGGACGGGACAUGAAUCCAGAGCCUCUCAGCCAGUCUGGAAGGGUGACUCGGCUGAUGGAGAGAAAUUAUGAUGGGGUGAUCUCAUCCUCCAACUCUGAUGACAUCUCUAUCUACUCCUUCACUGACUGUGAAUCUGAGAUUAUUGUGGCCAAGCCCAACAUCCUUCUCCCUCCCUCUGUGAGUGCCCUGAAGAAGGCAUCACGCCUGAUGGAGUUGGUCCCUACUGUCCGGCCCUGCAGGGAGCAGCUGGACAAGAAGACACAGUGGACCAACACCAACGAGGAGAGCCUGAGGAGGAUUAAAAAAAAACUGGCCUCCAUAGAGCUCGACCUGGAGGAAGGCCUGAACAAGGUCAACGACGGUCAGGACAUCAACCAAGAGAGGCAGAAGAAUGAGGGAUGCUUCAGAGCCUGGAUUGAGAAGUGGAUGGGGAGGAGGAAGGAGGAAAGACUGAGGGAUGAAGAUGUGAAUAGGGAAGACAAAGGGAGGAUGGGCGAGGAAGUGAGGGCACUGAUCCAAGUGAUGAAGAGAAACUGCAGUGAAAGUGAUCUUGAGGCAGUAAACCUGGACAGUUGGCUGAAUGACUUGGAAAGGUUGAAAGUGGCCUUCAAGAAAUGCACUGGAGAGAUGGCCGAAAUGGUAGAGAGCAUGGCAGAAAUGCAGACCAGAAUAGCUGAGAGCAGGCUCCUCAAGCUUGAUAAAAAUAACUAUGUCCAGAGCUUUGUAAAUGAAUCUUACUUAUUGAGUGUAGUCAUGUAUCUAAUGUAUUUAUAGAUUAGUCAUAC
ensembl:lncRNA